UCUCUGGUAGUGUAUCGGUUAGUGCAUGUGCCUGUCAUACACAAAUAGGCCGCUCAGCGGCACACGCGAAAGCUGGGUUCAACUCCCAGCCAGAGAG